GAUUUUUUUUUUUUUUUUAAUAUAAGAGGGUCUCAUUGAUUCAGCUAAAGGAUGGAACCACUCAAUCCGUUCUUCGAUUCGCUUAUUCACGUGAUUUUUAAAAAUUGUUCGAUAUAUUAGAAUAGAUAUAUAAUUUCUAAGUGCUUCUCAUUGAUCUCACUAAGCUCAGUUUUGAUUCAAGAAUAAUCAAGAGGUCUAAACAUUGAUUCUCAAGGAUCUCUAUCAAUUAUUCAUUCAAUGGAAUCUAUUGUUGGAUAUUCUUCAGAUCAAAGGUAUAAUACGGUUCUUAUGGGGAUUUAAUAUCUGCCUAUUACAAAACUGAUUUUUUUGUUGGGUACACUCUCUCUUUGUGGUAUUCCAUCCCUUGCUUGUUUUUGGUCCAAAGAUGGUAGUUUUUUCCCCCUUCCAUGUUUGGAUCUAUUUUCACACCAUUUAGAAAGUCUUCAAAGUUGAUAAUGCAUAUGUGGCAUAUAUCAACUGGAUAAGAUAUGGUGCUCAAAUGGACAUGAGCCAUGUGAAAGUGCAAAAUAAAUAUCAGGGAUAAUACUUGAAUGACCAGGCUUGAGUAUCACCAAUCAGCAGUCGUUUCUUGCCGCUGUGCCAAUGAAGUACUAACUUCAAGUUGUUGGAAGAUCAUGUCUAUGUUAUUGGUCCAGAGUCUUGCUAGGAGUUAAAAUAUAAACUUCUUAAAUUUUUUGAAUGGUAUUGAAUCUACCACAUGGUUACACCUAUACUCAGAUAAUAACUUUCAAUGAUUCAGUGAACCGACACCAAGAUAUUGUGGGGCAUCAGCAUGGAUUCUCCUGUCAUUGUGUUGGUGUGUUGUCAUCUAUGAAAAGAGCAGUCUGAAGUCAAGUCAA